rnacentral:rRNA from 1 species
AUUGAACGCUGGCGGCAGGCCUAACACAUGCAAGUCGAACGAGUGGCGGACGGGUGAGUAAUGUCUGGGAAACUGCCUGAUGGAGAGGGAUAACUACUGGAAACGGUAGCUAAUACCGCAUACCUCCGGUUGUGCCCGGAUGGGAUUAGCAAGUCGGUGGGUUAACGGCUACCCUAGGCGCCAUUCCCUAGUUGGGCUGAGAGGAUGACAGGCCACACUGGAACUGAGACACGGUCCAGACUCCUAGGGGAGGCAGCAGUGGGGAAUAUUGCACGAUGGGCGCAAGCCUGAUGCAGCCAUGCCGCGUGUAUGAAGAAGGCCUUCGGGUUGUAAAGUACUUUCAGCGGGGAGGCGUUACCCGCAGAAGAAGCACCGGCUAACUCCGUGCCAGCCGCCGCGGUAAUUC